GAUGAACGCUAGCUACAGGCUUAACACAUGCAAGUCGAGGGGCAGCACAGUGUAGCAAUACACGGGUGGCGACCGGCGCACGGGUGCGUAACACGUAUCCAAUCUGCCCGUUACUCGGGGAUAGCCUUCUGAAAGGAGGAUUAAUACCCGCUGGCAUUCAUUUGCGGCAUCGCUUAUGAAUUAAAGACUUAUCGGUAACGGAUGAGGAUGCGUAGGAUUAGCUGGUUGGCGGGGGAACGGCCCACCAAGGCGACGAUCGUGAGGGGUUCUGAGAGGAAGGUCCCCCACACUGGAACUGAGACACGGUCCAGACUCCUACGGGAGGCAGCAGUGAGGAAUAUUGGUCAAUGGUCGAGAGACUGAACCAGCCAAGUAGCGUGAAGGAUGACUGCCCCACGGGUUGUAAACUUCUUUUGUUUGGGAAUAAAGUGAGGCACGUGUGCCUUUUUGUAUGUACCUUACGAAUAAGCAUCGGCUAAUUCCGUGCCAGCAGCCGCGGUAACAC
rnacentral:rRNA from 1 species